CACGUAGGGCGCGAGCGUUGUCCGGAAUUAUUGGGCGUAAAGAGCUCGUAGGCGGCCUGUUGCGUCCGCUGUGAAAGCCCCGGGGGCUUAACUCCGGAAUUGCCUUUAAGACUGCAUCGCUAGGAUUGUGGAGAGGUAAGUGGAAUUCCGAGUGUAGAGGUGAAAUUCGUAGAUAUUCGGAAGAACACCAGUGGCGAAGGCGACUUACUGGACACAUAUUGACGCUGAGGUGCGAAAAGCGUGGGGAGCAAACAGG
rnacentral:rRNA from 1 species